GACGAACGCUGGCGGCGUGCUUAACACAUGCAAGUCGAACGGAAAGGCCCUGCUUGCAGGGUACUCGAGUGGCGAACGGGUGAGUAACACGUGGGUGAUCUGCCCUGCACUUCGGGAUAAGCCUGGGAAACUGGGUCUAAUACCGGAUAGGUGCCAUUUUUAGUGUGAUGGUUGGAAAGUUUUUUCGGUGUAGGAUGAGCUCGCGGCCUAUCAGCUUGUUGGUGGGGUAAUGGCCUACCAAGGCGGCGACGGGUAGCCGGCCUGAGAGGGUGGACGGCCACAUUGGGACUGAGAUACGGCCCAGACUCCUACGGGAGGCAGCAGUGGGGAAUAUUGCACAAUGGGCGCAAGCCUGAUGCAGCGACGCCGCGUGGGGGAUGACGGCCUUCGGGUUGUAAACUCCUUUCGCUAGGGACGAAGCUUUUUGUGACGGUACCUAGAUAAGAAGCACCGGCUAACUACGUG
rnacentral:rRNA from 1 species